UUUCGCUUGAAGUUCGUGCAUGAAUAAUAGAGAGGAUUCGGUCCGAUUUAUUGGUUUGCUGACCGAGAUAAUGUUAACAGAGACAAACGGGGCCAUUCGUAUUGCUACGUGAGAGGUGAAAUUCUUGGACCGUAGCAAGACGGACUACAGCGAAAGCAUUUGGCAAGAAUGUCUUCAUUAAUCAAGAACGAAAGUCAGAGGUUCGAAGGCGAUCAGAUACCGCCCUAGUUCUGACCGUAAACGAUGCCAACUAGCGAUCCGCCGGUGGAUUUAUUCGCCCUGGUGGGGAGCUUCCCGGAAACGAAAGUCUUCCGGUUCCGGGGGAAGUAUGGUUGCAAAGCUGAAACUUAAAGGAAUUGACGGAAGGGCACCACCAGGAGUGGAGCCUGCGGCUUAAUUUGACUCAACACGGGGAAACUCACCCGGCCCGGACACCGUAAGGAUUGACAGAUUGAUAGCUUUUUCAUGAUUCGGUGGAUGGUGGUGCAUGGCCGUUCUUAGUUCGUGGAGCGAUUUGUCUGGUUUAUUCCGAUAACGAGCGAGACUCUAGCCUACUAAAUAGUUGGCUCAUUGCUUCUGUGGGCACAACUUCUUAGAGGGAUUUUCGGUGUUCAGCCGCACGAAAUUGAGCAAUAACAGGUCUGUGAUGCCCUUAGAUGUCCGGGGCUGCACGCGCGCUACACUGGCAAAAUCAGCGUGCUUGUCCUUCCCCGAAAGGGGUUGGUAAACCGGUGAAAAUUUGCCGUGAUUGGGAUCGGACAUUGCAAUUAUUGUCCGUGAACGAGGAAUUCCUUGUAGGGGCGAGUCAUCAACUCGCUCUGAAUACGUCCCUGCCCUUUGUACACACCGCCCGUCGCUGCCCGGGACUGAGCCAUUUCGAGAAAUUCGGGGACGGUUAAAUAAGGGCUUCGGUCGGUAUGCAGACUGGAACCGAUUU
rnacentral:rRNA from 2 species